UAAAUCUGCGAAUCAAGAAAGUCACUUAAAUCUGCAAUCUCUCUUUUGUCUGAUAGUUAAAAAAAAAAAAAAACCCGGUGAAUUUCCAUUGAAGGAAAAGAAGGAGCCUUAACGAACCGAUGCGUGGAAACUUCCAUAUAUCUUUAACACCUUCUACAGCAAGAACAACAUCGACGACAGCUUAUAAAACAAGACCCUCUCCUUGAGUGCUUACCAUUUGCAAGCAACCAUGGUUGGAACAGUGGCCACUUUAGAUGAUUUGUGCAAGGAACUACGCGAGG